GCAGCAGUAGGGAAUCUUCCACAAUGGACGAAAGUCUGAUGGAGCAACGCCGCGUGAGCGAUGAAGGCCUUCGGGUCGUAAAGCUCUGUUGUUAGGGAAGAACAAGUGCGAGAGUAACUGCUCGCACCUUGACGGUACCUAACCAGAAAGCCACGGCUAACUACGUGCCAGCAGCCGCGGUAAUACGUAGGUGGCAAGCGUUGUCCGGAAUUAUUGGGCGUAAAGCGCGCGCAGGUGGUCCUUUAAGUCUGAUGUGAAAGCCCACGGCUCAACCGUGGAGGGUCAUUGGAAACUGGGGGACUUGAGUGCAGAAGAGGAAAGUGGAAUUCCAAGUGUAGCGGUGAAAUGCGUAGAGAUUUGGAGGAACACCAGUGGCGAAGGCGACUUUCUGGUCUGUAACUGACACUGAGGCGCGAAAGCGUGGGGAGCAAACAGGAUUAGAUACCCUGGUAGUCCACGCCGUAAACGAUGAGUGCUAAGUGUUAGAGGGUUUCCGCCCUUUAGUGCUGCAGCUAACGCAUA
rnacentral:rRNA from 1 species